rnacentral:rRNA from 1 species
UACGAAGGGGGCUAGCGUUGUUCGGAAUUACUGGGCGUAAAGCGCGCGCAGGCGGUCUUCCAAGUCAGUGGUGAAAGCCCGGAGCUCAACUCCGGAACUGCCAUUGAAACUGUUGGACUUGAGUACGAGAGAGGUGAGUGGAAUUCCCAGUGUAGAGGUGAAAUUCGUAGAUAUUGGGAAGAACACCGGUGGCGAAGGCGGCUCACUGGCCCGAUACUGACGCUGAGGCACGAAAGCGUGGGGAGCAAACAGG